rnacentral:rRNA from 1 species
GAUGAACGCUGGCGGCGUGCCUAAUACAUGCAAGUCGAGCGAACGGACGAGAAGCUUGCUUCUCUGAUGUUAGCGGCGGACGGGUGAGUAACACGUGGAUAACCUACCUAUAAGACUGGGAUAACUUCGGAAAACCGGAGCUAAUACCGGAUAAUAUUUUGAACCGCAUGGUUCAAAAGUGAAAGACGGUCUUGCUGUCACUUAUAGAUGGAUCCGCGCUGCAUUAGCUAGUUGGUAAGGUAACGGCUUACCAAGGCAACGAUGCAUAGCCGACCUGAGAGGGUGAUCGGCCACACUGGAACUGAGACACGGUCCGGACUCCUACGGGAGGCAGCAGUAGGGAAUCUUCCGCAAUGGGCGAAAGCCUGACGGAGCAACGCCGCGUGAGUGAUGAAGGUCUUCGGAUCGUAAAACUCUGUUAUUAGGGAAGAACAUAUGUGUAAGUAACUGUGCACAUCUUGACGGUACCUAAUCAGAAAGCCACGGCUAACUACGUG